AACGGCCGCGGUAUUUUGACCGUGCAAAGGUAGCGCAAUCACUUGUCUUUUAAAUAGAGACCUGUAUGAAUGGCAUAACGAGGGCUUAACUGUCUCCUCUUUCCUAUCAAUGAAAUUGAUCCCCCCGUGCAGAAGCGGGGAUAUUAACAUAAGACGAGAAGACCCUAUGGAGCUUAAGCCGCAAGAACAGAACCUUACCCCUCUACCAAUCAAAAGUAUGAGAUUUAUGUUUUCAACCCUGUUCAAGUGUCUUUGGUUGGGGCGACCACGGAGCACAAUAAAACCUCCAUGAGGAAUGAAAAUAUUUUUUUUAUUUAAGGGUGACAACCCUAAAAACCAGAACUUCUGACCAUUUGAUCCGGCAAAGCCGAUCAACGAACCGAGUUACCCUAGGGAUAACAGCGCAAUCCUCUUCUAGAGUCCAUAUCGACAAGAGGGUUUACGACCUCGAUGUUGGAUCAGGACAUCCUAAU
rnacentral:rRNA from 1 species